UACGGGGGGGGGCAAGCGUUGUUCGGAAUUACUGGGCGUAAAGGGCUCGUAGGCGGCCAACUAAGUCGGACGUGAAAUCCCCAGGCUCAACCUGGGAACUGCGUCCGAUACUGGAUGGCUUGAAUCCGGGAGAGGGAUGCAGAAUUCCAGGUGUAGCGGUGAAAUGCGUAGAUAUCUGGAGGAAUACCGGUGGCGAAGGCGGCAUCCUGGACCGGCAUUGACGCUGAGGAGCGAAAGCCAGGGAGCAAACGGG
rnacentral:rRNA from 1 species